GAUGAACGCUGGCGGCGUGCCUAAUACAUGCAAGUCGAGCGAACGGACGAGAAGCUUGCUUCUCUGAUGUUAGCGGCGGACGGGUGAGUAACACGUGGAUAACCUACCUAUAAGACUGGGAUAACUUCGGGAAACCGUAGCUAAUACCGGAUAAUAUUUUGAACCGCAUGGUUCAAAAGUGAAAGACGGUCUUGCUGUCACGUAUAGAUGGAUCCGCGCUGCAUUAGCUAGUUGGUAAGGUAACGGCUUACCAAGGCAACGAUGCAUAGCCGACCUGAGAGGGUGAUCGGCCACACUGGAACUGAGACACGGUCCAGACUCCUACGGGAGGCAGCAGUAGGGAAUCUUCCGCAAUGGGCGAAAGCCUGACGGAGCAACGCCGCGUGAGUGAUGAAGGUCUUCGGAUCGUAAAACUCUGUUAUUAGGGAAGAACAUAUGUGUAAGUAACUGUGCACAUCUUGACGGUACCUAAUCAGAAAGCCACGGCUAACUACGUG
rnacentral:rRNA from 1 species